AGUGAACGCUGGCGGUAGGCCUAACACAUGCAAGUCGAACGGCAGCACAGUAAGAGCUUGCUCUUACGGGUGGCGAGUGGCGGACGGGUGAGGAAUACAUCGGAAUCUACUUUUUCGUGGGGGAUAACGUAGGGAAACUUACGCUAAUACCGCAUACGACCUACGGGUGAAAGCAGGGGAUCUUCGGACCUUGCGCGAUUGAAUGAGCCGAUGUCGGAUUAGCUAGUUGGCGGGGUAAAGGCCCACCAAGGCGACGAUCCGUAGCUGGUCUGAGAGGAUGACGAGCAACAAUAGAACGGAGAAACUGCCCACACUCCAAGGGGAGGCAGAGGGGGGGAAAAUUGGAAAAAGGGAGAAAGCCUGGCCCAGCCAUGCCGGGUGGGUGAAGAAGGCCUUCGGGGUGUAAAGCCCUUUUUUUGGGAAAAAAAAGCAGCGGGUAAAAACCCCGGUGUUCUGACGGGACCCAAAAAAAGAGCACCGGAAAACUUCGG
rnacentral:rRNA from 1 species